UAGGGAAUCUUCGGCAAUGGGGGGAACCCUGACCGAGCAACGCCGCGUGAGUGAAGAAGGUUUUCGGAUCGUAAAGCUCUGUUGUUAAGGAAGAACGAGUGUGAGAAUGGAAAGUUCAUACUGUGACGGUACUUAACCAGAAAGGGACGGCUAACUACGUGCCAGCAGCCGCGGUAAUACGUAGGUCCCGAGCGUUGUCCGGAUUUAUUGGGCGUAAAGCGAGCGCAGGCGGUUAGAUAAGUCUGAAGUUAAAGGCAGUGGCUCAACCAUUGUAGGCUUUGGAAACUGUUUAGCUUGAGUGCAGAAGGGGAGAGUGUAAUUCCAUGUGUAGCGGUGAAAUGCGUAGAUAUAUGGAGGAACACCGGUGGCGAAAGCGGCUCUCUGGUCUGUAACUGACGCUGAGGCUCGAAAGCGUGGGGAGCGAACAGG
rnacentral:rRNA from 1 species